UAGGGAAUCUUCGGCAAUGGACGAAAGUCUGACCGAGCAACGCCGCGUGAGUGAAGAAGGUUUUCGGAUCGUAAAGCUCUGUUGGUAGAGAAGAACGUUGGUGAGAGUGGAAAGCUCAUCAAGUGACGGUAACUACCCAGAAAGGGACGGCUAACUACGUGCCAGCAGCCGCGGUAAUACGUAGGUCCCGAGCGUUGUCCGGAUUUAUUGGGCGUAAAGCGAGCGCAGGUGGUUUAUUAAGUCUGGUGUAAAAAGGCAGUGGCUCAACCAUUGUAUGCAUUGGAAACUGGUAGACUUGAGUGCAGGAGAGGAGAGUGGAAUUCCAUGUGUAGCGGUGAAAUGCGUAGAUAUAUGGAGGAACACCGGUGGCGAAAGCGGCUCUCUGGCCUGUAACUGACACUGAGGCUCGAAAGCGUGGGGAGCAAAACAG
rnacentral:rRNA from 1 species